rnacentral:rRNA from 1 species
CUUAUCUUAGCGGCGGACGGGUGAGUAAUGCUUAGGAAUCUGCCUAUUAGUGGGGGACAACAUUUCGAAAGGAAUGCUAAUACCGCAUACGCCCUACGGGGGAAAGCAGGGGAUCUUCGGACCUUGCGCUAAUAGAUGAGCCUAAGUCGGAUUAGCUAGUUGGUGGGGUAAAGGCCUACCAAGGCGACGAUCUGUAGCGGGUCUGAGAGGAUGAUCCGCCACACUGGGACUGAGACACGGCCCAGACUCCUACGGGAGGCAGCAGUGGGGAAUAUUGGACAAUGGGUGAAAGCCUGAUCCAGCAAUGCCGCGUGAGUGAAGAAGGCCUUCGGGUUGUAAAGCUCUUUUGUCAGGGAAGAAACGGUGAGAGCUAAUAUCUCUUGCUAAUGACGGUACCUGAAGAAUAAGCACCGGCUAACUACGUGCCAGCAGCCGCGGUAAUACGUAGGGUGCAAGCGUUAAUCGGAAUUACUGGGCGUAAAGCGUGCGCAGGCGGUUUUGUAAGUCUGUCGUGAAAGCCCCGGGCUCAACCUGGGA